rnacentral:lncRNA from 1 species
CCAUUGUGAUGCUGGCCAGGCUGGUGCUUGGGACCUCAGGCAGGGCGGCCCUAGGAUCAGUGGAGCCUGCGCUUGGCGGUGAGCUUGACAAUCCCCGGGAAAGGAAAAGCGCUUGAUUUCGGGUGCCGGGAGGGGAUGACAUUGACCAUACUCUCUUCUAUAGACUUGUAGUUAUUAAUAAAAGUGAAUCCUGCUGCGAUUGGCACGUAGGUAUGUAGUGCCCACCUGCAGUUUUUUGCUCCUUCGGAUUCCCAUGCUCUCGUAGACUGGAGGUCCGCUGCUAACAAACACAGUGACAGAGUAAAUAUGGCACCAAGGUUAUUUAUAAAGAGAAUGAAUUGUGCAAGUUUGAGUGAUGAAGGUCAAUUCAUCCCUCAAAGGCUCUAUAGCACGAAGGCCCGAGAGAGGCUAAGCUACAAACCUGCCCUUUUAAACUUACUACCCACCAGGGACGGAGCUCAUCGCUUCAGGAAACACACACCCCACCCCCACCCCCACCCGAAUUAAAACGCGUUAGAACUAGGAAAGUACUCCUCCUCCUAAGCAUUUCCAGGGCAGAAAGCAGAGAAGUGAAAAUGGUUAUUGACUUAGCUGGGUCUAAAGCUCAACUCAAGGCAUCAGUACCUUCCCUGUGUUUUAUUUUUAAAUAUUGGAUCUCCUUUCGCGUCUAUUUUCUUCCGAAGCAGCAGCUGCGGUGGCCCAGCAAGCUAGCCUCCCUUGCUUCUUUCUUAACACCUUUUGUUACUGAAGAUGGGCUUUUUCUGUGCAAACUGUUUUCUUUCACCUUUCAGUAGCAGUUAUUUAUUAGACAACCAACCUUCCAGGCCUUCUGCAGGGUAUACAGCUCUCCCACUGCUAAGGAGUUAACCAUACUCCUGGAUGGGCGAGAAGGAGACAGAUACAAGUCCAUAGCCAUAUCCAGUACGACUGCAAUAGAAAGCCCUCAGAUCUUGAAUUGAUCAAAAUGCCAGAGGAAGGUGCCUUUGUGUAUUUUUAAAAUCACACAAGUAAUAAGUGCAUGGUUAUAUUUUCAC